rnacentral:tRNA from 1 species
GCGCGGGUGGCGAAAUGGCAGACGCUACAGCUUGAGGGGCUGUUGUCCGCAAGGACGUGGAGGUUCGAAUCCUCUCCCGCGCA